rnacentral:pre_miRNA from 1 species
UCAUAUGGUUGAGCAAAGAAAGUGGUUUCUUGAAUUGCAAUCCACUCCUGGUGAAGACGCUGUGAA